UAGAGUUUGAUCCUGGCUCAGAGCGAACGCUGGCGGCAGGCUUAACACAUGCAAGUCGAACGGCUCUUUCGGGAGCAGUGGCGGACGGGUGAGUAACGCGUGGGAACGUGCCCUAAGGUUCGGAACAACACAGGGAAACUUGUGCUAAUACCGGAUGUGCCCGAGAGGGGAAAGAUUCAUCGCCUUAGGAGCGGCCCGCGUCUGAUUAGCUAGUUGGUGGGGUAAAGGCCCACCAAGGCUACGAUCAGUAGCUGGUCUGAGAGGAUGGCCAGCCACACUGGGACUGAGACACGGCCCAGACUCCUACGGGAGGCAGCAGUGGGGAAUCUUGCGCAAUGGGCGAAAGCCUGACGCAGCCAUGCCGCGUGGAUGAUGAAGGUCUUAGGAUUGUAAAAUCCUUUCAGCGGGGACGAUAAUGACGGUACCCGCAGAAGAAGCCCCGGCUAACUUCGUGCCAGCAGCCGCGGUAAUACGAAGGGGGCUAGCGUUGCUCGGAAUUACUGGGCGUAAAGGGAGCGUAGGCGGAUCGUUUAGUCAGGGGUGAAAUCCCGGGGCUCAACCUCGGAACUGCCUUUGAUACUGGCGAUCUUGAGUAUGGGAGAGGUGUGUGGAACUCCGAGUGUAGAGGUGAAAUUCGUAGAUAUUCGGAAGAACACCAGUGGCGAAGGCGACACACUGGCCCAUACUACGCUA
rnacentral:rRNA from 1 species